GCAGAUGGCGCUAUUCGUGCAUUGCACAAGUGUCAAGCAGGAUUUGUUUUAGACACUACACGCGGAGUUAAGCUCGAGUAUAGAUUAAGAUGCGAGCGGAUACUAUCUGCAGGGUCAAGUUUAUUAACGAGUGCACGUGGUGAGCGGUGUGCCGGUAUUAUUUAUUAGAUAAUUGCUGCUUAGGAUCGCGUGAGGCUGAAAUAUCACUUUGUUGCUUUAUUUGCGCGCCUAUACUUUGAUCUGUAAUAAUUGACAAUUACGUUUAUGUAAUGCGCUGCUGGUAUAUCUAAAAUCUCGAGAAUGAUAAUUGAUCACGAUGAUUAUCGCAUGAUUUAUAAACACAGCUUGUUGCUAAUUAUUAAUUUUUCAAGUUUACGUAUCGCUGUAUGUAAAUUAGGCAUUUGUGAGAUUGGAAGAUAAAAGAAUAAAAAUGCUUGGAAUUAUAAUGGUUGAAGGAUAGGAAGAAUACUAAAGCAUGUGGUUUCAAUUAUUUCCGCAGUUCUCCGCGUUUUAUGCACGUAAAAUUGAUAUUGUACUGCAUGUGUGUGAGGAAACGUUUUUGCAAAAAUUUCCGGAACUGCGAAAUUAAAAUUUCUCUCUUCGUCUCUUUUCACGUUCUUACUAAGUAUCUAGUGAAAAAUGAUAUAGAGUUAGACACAUUAUAAUUAAUAUAUUCCGAGAGACAAUAAAAGAUAAGGUGAAGAUUGAUAAUGUACUUAUUACGGUAAAAUGUAGUUAUUAAAAAAUAAAAUGAAAAGCUAAACUAUUUUGGAAACGUACACUCGCUGAUUUGAAAAAUUAUACUCAGUUAUUCAGUUACAAAACUCUCUUUUCCAGACAGACAUUGUUUAAUUAAUGAUAUUUUUUGGGACGAAGUUUGAUCAAUUAUCGGGAAUAUAAUAAAUGAGAGAGUCGCGAAUCCAGUUGUAGAUGUUAGAAAGGAGAAAAACAAAAUGCUUAAUUCACAUAGCAAAGUGCAUCAGAUAUUUAUGCCGAAGCUGCUGUAAGCAGGAUAUUGCAAACCAGUUAUUAAAAGCACUUUACACGAGCGCGACUCUCUAUCUUUCUUCACUUUUUGAUCAAAUCUACCUCAUGCAAAUGAAUCAUUUACACGGUUUUUUAUUAUCUCAACAGAUUUUCGUACUCUUCGUGAAAUCAACCUUUAUUCAAAAUCCCUUGCUCCUUUGCGCGACAAAUAUGCAAGUAUAUGAUGUAUCAAAUAUUGAUUACAUCAUUAGGAUAAUCCGAAAGACGUUUAUCGAAUGGUUAAAUAAAUUGAAUAAUCUAGGAGAUAUAUGAAUAAUCUGAGAUGGUUUAUAACUUAGCAAAACAUGAUCACGCUCAAAUUUUUUGAACGUGUGACAUGAUCGAAUCACACCUUUUAUAUACCCCCUAACAAUAUAAAAUAAAAAUCAAAUGAUAAAUGCCAUUAGCGUGAUAAAUAUCAAUGUUAAGAAAUAUUUUCUCCUCUUUCCUCUAUAAUGAUUUUACAUUUUAUGUUUUAAGCACGUAUUUAGAAAUCCAAAACCAAAUGUUGUUAAAAUAAUGUUACACCGUAAUAAUUAUACACGUAAUAAUUAUAACUUGAUAUAUAAUUUUGCAGCUUGUCAUUCUUGCGAUUUCAAAAAGUUUCUAUAAUAUUUAUACUAUAUCGUCAGCUCUUUGAAUUAACAUUAUUAACAUAUGCGUAUUGAUGUGCAAAUAACUGUGGGAGGUUUCGCGUGCGGUCGAAAUGUGUGCCUAAGAAGGUGAGAUUUAACAAAUUGACCAAUAAGUGAAAUUACUGGCACAGAAAGAGGACUUCUCUCGACUUCCUUUAUGAAGCUAGAAACGACUUCGUCGCAUUAUAAAAAUGUGAUCGAAAUAGCGAGUGGUAAUUGCGAUGGUAUUACACCGCACCUUCUGCGGAUUGCGCAACGAUAUUAGGCGCUCGAUCGGCAGCAAGAUUUCGCCAAUCGGCGAACAUAAUUGAUACGUGAUGCGGUGUCACUCUCGCAUCGUUGCAUCUGGAAUACACAUGAAAAAGAAAUGAUCGCGCGGACGAGCGAUCGGAAAAAAAGAGAAAAUCUCGAUGAUCGCCGUCACGGUGCGGCUUAAUUUGACGCGGCGCAACGCACGCGAGCAGCUGAAUUUAUUCGACGUGCUCCGUCGUGAAAAUCCGUUAAAGUGUCAUAAGUGUCCGCGAGCCGCAACGAACACGGCAAUCGCGCCGGGCUGACGUUAUUAAAUGUGAUUGCGCAACCAGCACGAGAAGCGGUUCCAAAGGACGCGAGCAUUAUGACACCGUGGCAUGUAACGUGGCCUCUAUGGAGCUCGCUACGUCACGCCUGCGGAGUGCCUGCGGUUUUGUAUUACAUGUAAUACGCCUGCACACGAUCGUCAGGAGCGUACUUCGAUCGGAACCCUUUCCCGGAACGUCGCUCGUCGAUCUUUCUGCGUCGCGCUUGUGACCGCUACGAUCUCUAGAUGAUCCAUGAUUAGCCGGAGAUCCCUAUCAACCUGGAACCCUAUCAACCUGGAGCUUAUUACUCCUCCAUAUAAUCGCACGGACCCGCCUCUUUUUAAAUUAACUUUUUAGAUUAACGUUAAUUGUAAAUUCCCUAAUGCAUACGCCAGGCUUGUAUGCAAUACGUACCCUUUGAUCUCUAUCGUCUUAUCAUCGUCUUGUUCACAAGCCGCAAUAACGUAACGCGGCUUGCCAGUGCUAAAAAACCGUGACCGUAUGUAACACUUGAGAGUUUGUCUACUAAAAUGAUGAUAGAUGUACUUGGAAAAUUAUGUAGAUUUAUUGCAAAAUAGUAAUGGUGUGUCAUUAUUUCGUAUUUUUAUUAUCGACGUAUUACUAUAUAUCUUACCUUAUUUUAUUGUAUGUAUGUACAUAUUAUUAUUCAAAAAGUCUUGUGGAACAUGCUCUUUGUUUAAAAUUACAGUUAUUCGAGUAACAGAAACAUCCGCAUUGUGUUAUUGCUAUGAUCGAGGUAGCCUAUGGGCACGUUUAUUAAUAAGGCAAUCCGGUAGCGAUUAUUUUUCCAUUGAAGCAGGAACGAACAGUCACAACGUAUCUCAUAGAUACCUUUGUUUAAUUAAUUAAAUUGUCAAUUUCCUGUUUUAUUGCCUUGUACUGAUAGAUGCCACGUUGCAUACACAACUAGCAGUUUAAAAAAUACGUACUUCCUGCUUACCCGCAUUCUUACACGAACGUCUUGCCUACCGUUCAUGGAAAUAAUUCUUACCUCGAAUUUUUUUAUUUGCGAUGGACAUCUACUCAUCGCAGUAAGGUCGAUUAGCAUGGUAUUGCGUAAUACACAUUGUUAUUCGAUUGAUAUCUCAUUGCACAAAAUGCAGCGGCUGCCUCCUGUUACUUUGUAACACUUUCAUCACAGCAAAUUUAAUUCCAAAUCGCACAAGAUAUCUAUCUUGUAAUAUGUUGAAUAAAUUUAUAUUUAUGCGUCUAAAUAAAAAAAUAUCACAGAAAA
rnacentral:lncRNA from 1 species